GACGGAGGAUGCAAGCGUUAUCCGGAAUGAUUGGGCGUAAAGCGUCUGCAGGUGGCAGUUCAAGUCUGCUGUCAAAGACCGGGGCUUAACUUCGGAAAGGCAGUGGAAACUGAACAGCUAGAGUAUGGUAGGGGCAGAGGGAAUUCCUGGUGUAGCGGUGAAAUGCGUAGAGAUCAGGAAGAACAUCGGUGGCGAAGGCGAUCUGCUGGACCAUAACUGACACUCAGGGACGAAAGCUAGGGGAGCGAAUGGG
rnacentral:rRNA from 1 species